rnacentral:rRNA from 1 species
UACGGAGGGUGCAAGCGUUGUCCGGAUUUAUUGGGUUUAAAGGGUGCGUAGGCGGCCAUUUAAGUCCGGGGUGAAAGCCCACUGCUCAACAGUGGAACUGCCUUGGAAACUGGAUGGCUUGAGUACAGACGAGGGUGGCGGAAUGGAUACUGUAGCGGUGAAAUGCAUAGAUAGUAUCCAGAACACCGAUUGCGAAGGCAGCUGCCUAGACUGUAACUGACGCUGAGGCACGAAAGCGUGGGGAGCGAACAGG